AAAUUGAAGAGUUUGAUCAUGGCUCAGAUUGAACGCUGGCGGCAGGCCUAACACAUGCAAGUCGAACGGUAACAGGAAGCAGCUUGCUGCUUCGCUGACGAGUGGCGGACGGGUGAGUAAUGUCUGGGAAACUGCCUGGUGGAGGGGGAUAACUACUGGAAACGGUGGCUAAUACCGCAUAACGUCGCAAGACCAAAGAGGGGGACCUUCGGGCCUCUUGCCAUCAGAUGUGCCCAGAUGGGAUUAGCUUGUUGGUGGGGUAACGGCCCACCAAGGCGACGAUCCCUAGCUGGUCUGAGAGGAUGACCAGCCACACUGGAACUGAGACACGGUCCAGACUCCUACGGGAGGCAGCAGUGGGGAAUAUUGCACACUGGGCGCGAGCCUGAUGCUGCCAUGCCGCGUGUAUGAAGAAGGCCUUCGGGUUGUAAAGUACUUUCAGCGGGGAGGAAGGCGACAAGGUUAAUAACCUUGUUGAUUGACGUUACCCGCAGAAGAAGCACCGGCUAAAUCCGUGCCAGCAGCCGCGGUAAUACGGAGGGUGCAAGCGUUAAUCGGAAUUACUAGGCGUAAAGCGCACGCAGGCGGUCUGUCAAGUCGGAUGUGAAAUCCCCUGGCUCAGCCUGGGAACUGCAUCCGAAACUGGCAGGCUUGAGUCUCGUAGAGGGGGGUAGAAUUCCAGGUGUAGCGGUGAAAUGCGUAGAGAUCUGGAGGAAUACCGGUGGCGAAGGCGGCCCCCUGGACGAAGACUGACGCUCAGGUGCGAAAGCGUGGGGAGCAAACAGGAUUAGAUACCCUGGUAGUCCACGCCGUAAACGAUGUCGACUUGGAGGUUGUGCCCUUGAGGCGUGGCUUCCGGAGCUAACGCGUUAAGUCGACCGCCUGGGGAGUACGGCCGCAAGGUUAAAACUCAAAUGAAUUGACGGGGGCCCGCACAAGCGGUGGAGCAUGUGGUUUAAUUCGAUGCAACGCGAAGAACCUUACCUGGUCUUGACAUCCACGGAAGAAUCCAGAGAUGGGUGCCUUCGGGAGCCGUGAGACAGGUGCUGCAUGGCUGUCGUCAGCUCGUGUUGUGAAAUGUUGGGUUAAGUCCCGCAACGAGCGCAACCCUUAUCCUUUGUUGCCAGCGGUCCGGCCGGGAACUCAAAGGAGACUGCCAGUGAUAAACUGGAGGAAGGUGGGGAUGACGUCAAGUCAUCAUGGCCCUUACGACCAGGGCUACACACGUGCUACAAUGGCGCAUACAAAGAGAAGCGACCUCGCGAGAGCAAGCGGACCUCAUAAAGUGCGUCGUAGUCCGGAUUGGAGUCUGCAACUCGACUCCAUGAAGUCGGAAUCGCUAGUAAUCGUGGAUCAGAAUGCCACGGUGAAUACGUUCCCGGGCCUUGUACACACCGCCCGUCACACCAUGGGAGUGGGUUGCAAAAGAAGUAGGUAGCUUAACCUCCGGGAGGGCGCUUACCACUUUGUGAUUCAUGACUGGGGUGAAGUCGUAACAAGGUAACCGUAGGGGAACCUGCGGUUGGAUCACCUCCUUACCUGAAAGAA
rnacentral:rRNA from 1 species